rnacentral:rRNA from 1 species
GACGAACGCUGGCGGCGUGCCUAAUACAUGCAAGUUGAGCGCUGAAGGUUGGUACUUGUACCAACUGGAUGAGCAGCGAACGGGUGAGUAACGCGUGGGGAAUCUGCCUUUGAGCGGGGGACAACAUUUGGAAACGAAUGCUAAUACCGCAUAAAAACUUUAAACACAAGUUUUAAGUUUGAAAGAUGCAAUUGCAUCACUCAAAGAUGAUCCCGCGUUGUAUUAGCUAGUUGGUGAGGUAAAGGCUCACCAAGGCGAUGAUACAUAGCCGACCUGAGAGGGUGAUCCGCCACAUUGGGACUGGGACACGGCCCAAACUCCUACGGGAGGCAGCAGUAGGGAAUCAUCGGCAAUGGACGAAAGUCUGACCGAGCAACGCCGCGGGAGUGAAGAAGGUUUUCGGAUCGGAAAACUCUGUUGGUAGAGAAGAACGUUGGUGGGAGUGGAAAGCUCAUCAAGUGACGGUAACUACACAGAAAGGGACGGCUAACUACGUG